UACGGAGGGAGCUAGCGUUGUUCGGAAUUACUGGGCGUAAAGCGUACGUAGGCGGUUAUUCAAGUCAGGCGUGAAAGCCCCGGGCUCAACCUGGGAACCGCGCUUGAGACUGGCACGCUAGAGUUCGGGAGAGGAUGGUGGAAUUCCCAGUGUAGAGGUGAAAUUCGUAGAUAUUGGGAAGAACACCGAUGGCGAAGGCAGCCAUCUGGACCGACACUGACGCUGAGGCGCGAAAGCGUGGGGAGCAAACAGG
rnacentral:rRNA from 1 species